UGUAAGAAUGGCGGAUAAAGCAAGACGAAAGUGCAUCUGAAAUAAUGAGCUCAAACGGAAAUGAUUAAUGAAGAAUCUCGGGCUUGACGAAGCCUCUUGUGGAAUGUAAAACAGAGGCCCUUCUUUAUGGAAGCUGUGUGUCCCAGAAAGACAACAUUACCAAGCAUGCCUGUGAUAAGGAGUUUCAAGCACUUAAAGACUGUAUAAGACAAGCAGCAAAGAAAAUUAAAGUGUAGAGACUUGAAAAGAGAGAACAACUGCACCUGUUGCUGCAAAGUUUAGGAACAGAAGAUGUCACAGGGAACCCACUCACUUUUUGUCUGGGAUAAAAAAUGUUGUACUUGGAAAAGCUAACAUCACUGUAGAAUGGAUGAAUUAAAAGCAAAUUAUGGCUAAUGUGAACUGUGUUAGACUUACUCAUACUGAGUAUAAAGCUUAUUCUAAAAUGGUGACCAUUCUAUGAUUCCAUUUUUAGUCACCCCACAUAUGUUAAUGUCAUUUCCUG